rnacentral:rRNA from 1 species
AGCGUACACGGUGGAUGCCCUGGCAGUCAGAGGCGAUGAAGGACGUGCUAAUCUGCGAUAAGCGUCGGUAAGGUGAUAUGAACCGUUAUAACCGGCGAUUUCCGAAUGGGGAAACCCAGUGUGUUUCGACACACUAUCAUUAACUGAAUCCAUAGGUUAAUGAGGCGAACCGGGGGAACUGAAACAUCUAAGUACCCCGAGGAAAAGAAAUCAACCGAGAUUCCCCCAGUAGCGGCGAGCGAACGGGGAGCAGCCCAGAGCCUGAAUCAGUGUGUGUGUUAGUGGAAGCGUCUGGAAAGGCGCGCGAUACAGGGUGACAGCCCCGUACACAAAAAUGCACAUAUUGUGAGCUCGAUGAGUAGGGCGGGACACGUGGUAUCCUGUCUGAAUAUGGGGGGACCAUCCUCCAAGGCUAAAUACUCCUGACUGACCGAUAGUGAACCAGUACCGUGAGGGAAAGGCGAAAAGAACCCCGGCGAGGGGAGUGAAAAAGAACCUGAAACCGUGUACGUACAAGCAGUGGGAGCACGCUUAGGCGUGUGACUGCGUACCUUUUGUAUAAUGGGUCAGCGACUUAUAUUCUGUAGCAAGGUUAACCGAAUAGGGGAGCCGAAGGGAAACCGAGUCUUAACUGGGCGUUAAGUUGCAGGGUAUAGACCCGAAACCCGGUGAUCUAGCCAUGGGCAGGUUGAAGGUUGGGUAACACUAACUGGAGGACCGAACCGACUAAUGUUGAAAAAUUAGCGGAUGACUUGUGGCUGGGGGUGAAAGGCCAAUCAAACCGGGAGAUAGCUGGUUCUCCCCGAAAGCUAUUUAGGUAGCGCCUCGUGAAUUCAUCUCCGGGGGUAGAGCACUGUUUCGGCAAGGGGGUCAUCCCGACUUACCAACCCGAUGCAAACUGCGAAUACCGGAGAAUGUUAUCACGGGAGACACACGGCGGGUGCUAACGUCCGUCGUGAAGAGGGAAACAACCCAGACCGCCAGCUAAGGUCCCAAAGUCAUGGUUAAGUGGGAAACGAUGUGGGAAGGCCCAGACAGCCAGGAUGUUGGCUUAGAAGCAGCCAUCAUUUAAAGAAAGCGUAAUAGCUCACUGGUCGAGUCGGCCUGCGCGGAAGAUGUAACGGGGCUAAACCAUGCACCGAAGCUGCGGCAGCGACGCUUAUGCGUUGUUGGGUAGGGGAGCGUUCUGUAAGCCUGUGAAGGUGUGCUGUGAGGCAUGCUGGAGGUAUCAGAAGUGCGAAUGCUGACAUAAGUAACGAUAAAGCGGGUGAAAAGCCCGCUCGCCGGAAGACCAAGGGUUCCUGUCCAACGUUAAUCGGGGCAGGGUGAGUCGACCCCUAAGGCGAGGCCGAAAGGCGUAGUCGAUGGGAAACAGGUUAAUAUUCCUGUACUUGGUGUUACUGCGAAGGGGGGACGGAGAAGGCUAUGUUGGCCGGGCGACGGUUGUCCCGGUUUAAGCGUGUAGGCUGGUUUUCCAGGCAAAUCCGGAAAAUCAAGGCUGAGGCGUGAUGACGAGGCACUACGGUGCUGAAGCAACAAAUGCCCUGCUUCCAGGAAAAGCCUCUAAGCAUCAGGUAACAUCAAAUCGUACCCCAAACCGACACAGGUGGUCAGGUAGAGAAUACCAAGGCGCUUGAGAGAACUCGGGUGAAGGAACUAGGCAAAAUGGUGCCGUAACUUCGGGAGAAGGCACGCUGAUAUGUAGGUGAAGCGACUUGCUCGUGGAGCUGAAAUCAGUCGAAGAUACCAGCUGGCUGCAACUGUUUAUUAAAAACACAGCACUGUGCAAACACGAAAGUGGACGUAUACGGUGUGACGCCUGCCCGGUGCCGGAAGGUUAAUUGAUGGGGUCAGCGCAAGCGAAGCUCUUGAUCGAAGCCCCGGUAAACGGCGGCCGUAACUAUAACGGUCCUAAGGUAGCGAAAUUCCUUGUCGGGUAAGUUCCGACCUGCACGAAUGGCGUAAUGAUGGCCAGGCUGUCUCCACCCGAGACUCAGUGAAAUUGAACUCGCUGUGAAGAUGCAGUGUACCCGCGGCAAGACGGAAAGACCCCGUGAACCUUUACUAUAGCUUGACACUGAACAUUGAGCCUUGAUGUGUAGGAUAGGUGGGAGGCUUAGAAGUGUGGACGCCAGUCUGCAUGGAGCCGACCUUGAAAUACCACCCUUUAAUGUUUGAUGUUCUAACGUUGACCCGUAAUCCGGGUUGCGGACAGUGUCUGGUGGGUAGUUUGACUGGGGCGGUCUCCUCCUAAAGAGUAACGGAGGAGCACGAAGGUUGGCUAAUCCUGGUCGGACAUCAGGAGGUUAGUGCAAUGGCAUAAGCCAGCUUGACUGCGAGCGUGACGGCGCGAGCAGGUGCGAAAGCAGGUCAUAGUGAUCCGGUGGUUCUGAAUGGAAGGGCCAUCGCUCAACGGAUAAAAGGUACUCCGGGGAUAACAGGCUGAUACCGCCCAAGAGUUCAUAUCGACGGCGGUGUUUGGCACCUCGAUGUCGGCUCAUCACAUCCUGGGGCUGAAGUAGGUCCCAAGGGUAUGGCUGUUCGCCAUUUAAAGUGGUACGCGAGCUGGGUUUAGAACGUCGUGAGACAGUUCGGUCCCUAUCUGCCGUGGGCGCUGGAGAACUGAGGGGGGCUGCUCCUAGUACGAGAGGACCGGAGUGGACGCAUCACUGGUGUUCGGGUUGUCAUGCCAAUGGCACUGCCCGGUAGCUAAAUGCGGAAGAGAUAAGUGCUGAAAGCAUCUAAGCACGAAACUUGCCCCGAGAUGAGUUCUCCCUGACUCCUUGA